rnacentral:rRNA from 1 species
CACGCCGUAANCGAUGAGUGCUAGGUGUUAGGCCCUUUCCGGGGCUUAGUGCCGCAGCUAACGCAUUAAGCACUCCGCCUGGGGAGUACGACCGCAAGGUUGAAACUCAAAGGAAUUGACGGGGGCCCGCACAAGCGGUGGAGCAUGUGGUUUAAUUCGAAGCAACGCGAAGAACCUUACCAGGUCUUGACAUCCCGAUGCCCGCUCUAGAGAUAGAGUUUUACUUCGGUACAUCGGUGACAGGUGGUGCAUGGUUGUCGUCAGCUCGUGUCGUGAGAUGUUGGGUUAAGUCCCGCAACGAGCGCAACCCUUAUUGUUAGUUGCCAUCAUUCAGUUGGGCACUCUAGCGAGACUGCCGGUAAUAAACCGGAGGAAGGUGGGGAUGACGUCAAAUCAUCAUGCCCCUUAUGACCUGGGCUACACACGUGCUACAAUGGCUGGUACAACGAGUCGCAAGUCGGUGACGGCAAGCUAAUCUCUUAAAGCCAGUCUCAGUUCGGAUUGUAGGCUGCAACUCGCCUACAUGAAGUCGGAAUCGCUAGUAAUCGCGGAUCAGCACGCCGCGGUGAAUACGUUCCCGGGCCUUGUACACACCGCCCGUCACACCACGAGAGUUUGUAACACC